GCUAGCUUAGUAUAAGUUUAUUACGUGAGACUGUAAAUCUUGAGAUAAUUAAUAUUAGCUGGAA
rnacentral:tRNA from 1 species